ACGUCUUCUUUUAGAAGACGCUUGGCUAAGAUCAAGUGUAGUAUCUGUUCUUAUCGGUUUAAUAUCUGAUACGUCCUCUAUAUGAGGACUACAUAUUAAAUUGAUUUUUAGGACAGGGAGACGGAAGAGGGGCUUGCUCCGUCCGCUCCACGCAUCGACCUGGUAUUGCAGUACCUCCGGGAACGGUGCACCUCCU
ensembl:snRNA U2 U2 spliceosomal RNA